CGUUCACUUCGGAAGGUUUCGCUGCAGACUCACAGGGAUAACUGGCUUGUGGCCGCAACGUUCAUAGUCGACGUGGCUUUUUGAUCCUUCGAUGUCUGCUUUCUAUCUGUGUAAUAGCAAAAUUACCAAGCGUAUAGGAUUGUUCACCCUUCAAGGGAACGUGAAGUGGGGUUUAGACGUCGUGAGACGCAGCGGUUAGUUUUACCCUACUGUGUGCCAGUUGUCGCUAUCUUAACGGAAUCCUGUGCAGUACGGAGGAACCACAGGUUACGACCACUGGCUCAAUACUAGUUCGAACUGACUAUGGUUAUGACGUACUGUCCGGCUGGAUUAUUUGCCUGAACGCCUAUAAGGUCGUAUCAAUCGGAGCUGAUAGCGUUCUUA
rnacentral:rRNA from 1 species